CACGUAGUUAGCCGGAGCUUCCUCCUUAGGUACUGUCCUUUUUCUUCCCUAACGACAAUAGUUUACAAUCCGAAAACCUUCUUCCUAUACGCGGCGUCACUGCGUCAGAGUUUCCUCCAUUGCGCAAUAUUCCCGACUGCUGCCUCCCGUAGGAGUCUGGGCCGUAUCUCAGUCCCAAUGUGGCCGUUCAACCUCUCAGUCCGGCUACUGAUCGUCGUCUUGGUAGGCCGUUACCCCACCAACUAACUAAUCAGACGCAAGCUCAUCUAUUAGCGGAUUUCUCCUUUCCCACUACAACCAUGUGGUUAUUAUGGCAUAUGCGGUAUUAGCAAUGAUUUCUCAUUGUUAUUCCCCUCUAAUAGGCAGAUUGCUUACGCGUUACUCACCAGUCCGCCACUAAAGCCAUUGUACAAACUCUCAAUCCGAUAAAUCUUCAAUUCCUUUUGUAACGACUUCCGUUCGACUUGCAUGUCUUAUGUGCGCCGCCAGCGUUUAUCCUGAGCCAGGAUA
rnacentral:rRNA from 1 species